CGACUUAGUUUUUGUUCGUCACAUAGUAUCUAAAGUUGCACAGUAGUUAUAGUCUAAUUUUAUGCAUUUGCUUGCUUUAGUUGCUAUUGGAAGAAGAAUUUAUCUGAUGGCGCUGCUAGAUACAAUUAUUGGACACUCUCGAAUAAUGUUUGCAUUACGAUUCUGUUAUUAAUUUAGCAUGAAGCAUAUACUGAAAUAAGCAAGUUAAGCCGGAAAGUUAUAUGCUCCUGAUGGGCUAAUUGUUUCCGGUUUUUUCUUUCUUAAAUUACUGUUUGCAACUGACAAUUCUGUUGUUAAUCGGGUUUGAUACCUUUGGUUUAACCCUCUUAUAAAAUUCUUAUGUUGGAAACAGUUAUGCCAAUGAACUAUGUGGUCCAUAUGGGCAAAAUUCUGUAGAGGGUUGAUUUCAUAGCCUGCCGGUGGGGAACAUUUUACUCAGAAAAGUUAAUAUCUAUUUGAAUUAAUGCCUUGGUUUGAACAUUUAUUUUAAAACUCUAGAGAAGACUUCAUUCCAUGUCAGUGAAAACAUCUAUGGUAUAGUGUAGCAUAUUUUUUGAAAGAUGCUUUGCUUAACCUCCAUAAAAGAGUGUUUUACUAUCAAGUGUUGAAAACAGAGCGUGAAAGUUAUGUGUAUAAAGCCAAUUAGAUAUUCCACUGACUUUAAAAUGUAAAAUAAAUUACACUCCUCCUAAGAUAACUAACCUAUAUACUUGUCUGCAUUAUGGCAAAAUUUUAGUGCUCUUGUAGUCUCCCUCCAUGUUGUCUUCAUUAGCAUGUCAAACUUUUGGCUAUGGUAUACUAGUUUUUCCUUUGCUAACAUGCUGUGAUUUCUGUUCAGUCCUUCAGUCAUGCUUAAUCUCAAUGCCUCUACUAAAGAUUCUCCUAUUACUUUAAGAUGUCUUAAUUUCUUAUUACUCUAGGUGUCCAGUUUGCUGACCUGAAAUUCAUCUUUUUCUUUGGCAGAACUUGAUCAGUUGCUUGAAGAUGCACCUUUGCCAUUCAUAAUGCAGCAUGCUGCCAAGAUUUCUAGUGUUAGGAAAAGAGUUUCAUCCCUGAAUUCACUUCUAAAGUCCAUACAAGGGCGGAUUGAUAAUAUAGAUCGCAUGAUAUCUUUUGGUACUGCUCAUGAGAAAAACAACCAAUGAAGUUAUAGGUGAAAUGUCGACAGAAUAAGCAGCUUCCAUUCUUCCCUCAUGUACUUAAUAUGUAAUGUAUCCUUCAAUUGAAUUCUUAUUGUCAAGCACAUACCAGCUUAGUGCCAGUUAAGGAGUAAGGAUUUUAGAAUAGGAAUCCAGUAACAAGCUGUAUUUGGGUUACUUUUGACACUUCGUGUUCAAAGUCUCAAGUAAAAAUUCAUUUCAUUCAUUAAGGAAUUCUUAUUUUAAACUGAAAACCUGUCUUAAAUGAUAAAUUUUAUAUUAACAAAUAUAAGAAUUGGAAAAUUCUAUUACCUUCGAUAGUAUUUACAAGUAGUCAUUCUAUUUCAAUUUUAUGCUUCUCUAUACCUAUCCCAUUCCCUGCUUUAAGGAAAUGGGGGGAAAAUGAGGAAAGCAGGAAGCCAUAGCAUGGUGGGGCUACUUAACAGGUUCCUCAUCUAAAUUAGCAUACGUUGUUUGUUGGUAAUAAAUCGGGCCGUUUGAUUCAUUGAACGUGUGAGACAGAGUCUGCAAAUGCAACCCAAUUACAUUGAACUAUUGGUACCUUCUAGACCAUCUAGAUGCCUAGAAAGUGAUAUAUAGUCGUAAUAUAUUCAUGACGUGCAUUGUUUAUAUAUAAAUACUGAAGAUUGGAACGAUAUGGUGACACAUGCAAAAUUUGCCUAGCAUUACCAGAUCUUAUUUCCCGAAGUAAGUGGCCAGAAUCAUGCCUUUGUUUGCUGUUGUCGUUUUGCUGCACCACUGAGUGAAGAAGAAAAGGAAAGAAAGGAAAUA